GUGGCUCGGGAUACGAUCCUCUGACAAGUGAAUUGGUGGUAUCCGUUGCUAUCCGUCCUUGUAGUUUUGCCUGUUCUUGUACUCGUAAAGACUCGAAUGCCUGAUGCAGCAAGCUAUACCGAUGAGUGAGCAACUCAACAUGUUUAAGGAGUACAUGAAGAAGCUGGAAGAGAUUGCGGGAGAGAGAAAGGCACGGGACAUCAUCUCCAGGAGUCUGUACCUCGUGAUUACGGGGACCGACGACCUGGCGAACACGUACUUUACCACACCGUUUCGCAGAGUAGAGUACGAUCUCCCCUCCUACAUUAAGUUUGUGGUGGAGACGGCUACAAGCUUC
rnacentral:lncRNA from 1 species